UUGCCAGGCAGCGCUGGGCGCCCGCUCCUCGUGAGCGCCGGCUCUUGGCUCUCGCACUGCCCCUGGUGCUGAUAGGUGUGGUUUCCCAUAAGGAAGCUCUUCUUCCUGCUUGGCUUCCACCUUUAACCCUUCCACCUGGGAGCGUCCUCUAACACAUUCAGACUACAAGUCCAGACCCAGGAGAGCAAGGCCCAGAAAGAGGUCAAAAUGGGGUUUAUAUUUUCAAAAUCUAUGAAUGAAAGCAUGAAAAAUCAAAAGGAGUUCAUGCUUAUGAAUGCUCGACUUCAGCUGGAAAGGCAGCUCAUCAUGCAGAGUGAAAUGAGGGAAAGACAAAUGGCCAUGCAGAUUGCGUGGUCUCGGGAAUUCCUCAAAUAUUUUGGAACUUUUUUUGGCCUU
rnacentral:lncRNA from 1 species